AUUAACAUACAUACAUUUCACGCUAUACAGUUUCUGUUUUGUGUUUGUGCGAUUUAUAUGUUUGCCAUUUUCCCUUCACAUAAACAUGUAGGCCCAAACUACAUAUUGUAAGUUAUCUACAUGCUUGUCGGUCGUAAAUUGCAGUGUGCAGUUCUUAUAUUCUCUUGUGCUGAUCUGUACGGUAAAUGCCAAUAUUUGUGCAUAUAAACUGUGGCAAAUCAUUUUCGAACUUUGUCAUCGAUCAGCCAGCCAGGAAGGUGGAAGGAAACACUGCGGUAAGUGAAAUAUAUAUACUUCUUUGCAAGUGCAUAGUUUCGUUGUCGCAGCCUACUGAUUCCCGUUCCACUCCGCCACACUUUGGAAUAGGUAGAGCUGCUAUAAGCCACAUGUACAGUUCAACUAAUUUAGGGAUGGAUAUGCCUUUGAUCCAGUCUAAUUCAACAACAAUCAUACCAUUUGCAACAUCUGUAUGUAAUAUUUGUGUUUUUUGGCAAUGAGCAAACGUGUUGAGUGGGCAGGUUUCGUAGCGCUUAUACAGCCAUAUGCAACAGUGAAAUAUUUCAGUGAGUGGUUAAUGAAAUUAGAGAAUAAAAUUUGUACGGUAUUUGUUGAUACUUCGUCAAAGAAAUCGAAGUUCUGCCCGGUUCAGCACACAUUCCAGCAGCACCGGGCAACGAGAUGCCCAAUUUGUCAGGGGCAUGAUAAGCCAGUACAGUUUGGGCGUUUUCUAGAAUGUUCGGUGCCAAACAGAUGGACAGAAGCGAAACUACAUCGCUUGUCUCAAUUUGGGUUACAGUACACGAAAUUGCCAACGGAAAUGGGGAUGCGUGGAUGUGAGCAGCAUUUGAAUGUUCAGUAGUUUAGGGCACAUGCCGCGCAGGAGUCAACGUUUCUGGUAGGCUUGCUUAUAAGUGGUGCCGGUAUGCAAAAAUGUACAGAUUCCUCUGCAGAGUUUAACCAAGGACGAUUUGGAUCACAACUUGAAACAUGUAAGCCAACUUCCAGUACAACCUUAUGCCCAGGUCAGGCCCAGACUAUUGAUUGGUCUUAAUCAUGGCCAUUUGGGACUGCCAUCGACAACUAUGAAUGUAAACUCGUAUGGUCCCUUUAUUACCAAUACGGAGUUGGGAUGGGUAGAGUUUGGUCCAACUUCAACUACGAUACCAUCCCCAGCAUCGUGUUUGUUUAUGAACCGCUAAGCUGAUUAGUCUCUCCACAAUAUGGUAGUUGCCAUCUUCAAGACCGAGAAUUUCGGUGUCAGAGCUGCGCCUCCUAUAUAAAGUAAUGUGGACACUCGGGCCAGAACUAUUCUAAAGUCCGCCACAUGCCGCGUCGAUGGACGGUUUGAAAAAGUCUCAUAUGGAGAACUGACAACGUAAGGUUACCUGACAGCUACAACAUGGCGUUGAAACGUCUGGUCAGCGGAGCGCAAAGGAUGUGUCGAUAGAAGCCGCUAUGUCUACCGCUAAGACUUGGAAUUUGGCUCACUUUGCCGUUGCCAGUCCCAACAAACCCGGAAAGCUACGCAUGAUAUUUGACGCCGGUACUGAGUCUAAAUGCGCGCCAAUGAAAACUCUUAUUGUGUCACGGCUUCAACUUCAGGCAGCUGUUUUGGGCACACGCCUCAUGCAGUGCAUCCGCGACGAACACUCUUUUGGCAUCACAGACUGCAUUCUGUAGAGUGACCCAAAAACGGUCAUCAAAUGGAUUCAAAGUGAGCAUCGUAAUUACAAGCCUGUCGUACAGCUACAAGCGUUUCCAAUUGGCUGCCUACUAAGCCCACGUCGCGUUGGUCACGUUGUCCCCAUUCCUGCAGCAGGAUCCCAGGCUUUUACGCUUUUAUAUAGACGAGGAAGGCGUUCUCCAAGUGCAGGCUCAUGACUUGAGUACCGACUCCUGUAUCAUUGCUAUACGUAAUUUUGUGAACCGGCGACGUGCACCAUUAAGAAUUGACAAUGGAAAGAAUUUCGUUGAUGUUGACCGAAAAGCCAAGCGUUUCACAGAAGGGUUCGACUGCGUUUACAAAGUGAAAUAUCGCAGAAAAAUAUCCAGUCUGUAUUAAUUCACCAUGUAGUCCAUCGGAACGUGGUGCAUGGGAGAGAAUGGUACAGUGUGUCAAGCGAGUUUAAUUUCACACUUUGAAAGAGGUUGCACCAAGGGAGCAUACCCUGAAUAGUUUUCUUAUUGAAACCGUUUAAAGAAGGGGACUGGGUGUUCAUAUGCGGCCCUAGUGUUCCACGGCGAGAAUGGUGCCGAGGGAAGGUAAAGCUAGUGUACUCUGGGCUUGAUGGCGAGAUACGACGAGCAGACAUACGAACUUCUAGAGGAGUGAAACGAUGCGCAGUCUCAAAACUUGCUGUUCUGGACAUUAAUGGAGAUGAAUCAGGUAGGCACAAGCUACAUAUGUUAAGUUAUGCUUGUUGUUUGUAAACUGCAGUGUGCAGUUCCCCUAUUCUCCAGUGCUAAUCUGUAUGAUAAAUGGUUCAUAUAAGCUGGGGCAAAUCAUAUUCGAAUUUUCUCAUUGAUCAGCCAGCCAGGAAGGUGGAAGGACACACGAAGUAAACCAUAAACCAAACAUGCGUAACAGAAUAUGAGACCACCAUAAUAAUAUACAAAUGAACUAUGCAGUACAC